rnacentral:tRNA from 1 species
GCUGAUAUGGCUCAGUUUGUAGAGCACAUCCCUCGUAAGGGUGAGGUCGGCAGUUCGAAUCUGCCUACCAUCAACA